GACGAACGCUGGCGGCGUGCUUAACACAUGCAAGUCGAACGGUGAAGCUCCAGCCUGCUGGCGUGGAUCAGUGGCGAACGGGUGAGUAACACGUGAGCAACCUGCCCCUGACUCUGGAAUAAGCCCUGGAAACGGCGUCUAAUACUGGAUACGAGAAGGUCCCGCAUGGGCACUUUCUGGAAAGUUUUUCGGUUGGGGAUGGGCUCGCGGCCUAUCAGCCUGUUGGUGAGGUAAUGGCUCACCAAGGCGACGACGGGUAGCCGGCCUGAGAGGGCGACCGGCCACACUAGGACUAAGGCACGGCCCAGACUCCUACGGGGGGCAGCAGUGGGGAGUAUUGCGCAGUAAGCGGAAGCCUGAUGCAGCGGCGCCGCGUGAGGGAUGACGGCCUUCGGGUUGUAAACCUCUUUCAGCAGGGAAGAAGCGGAAGUGACGGUACCUGCAGAAGAAGCACCGGCUAACUACGUG
rnacentral:rRNA from 1 species